GGAAGUAAAAAUCGUAACAAGGUCUCCGUAGGUGAACCUGCGGAGGGAUCAUUACAGAGUUCAUGCCCUACCGGGUAGAUCUCCCACCCUAUGUUAUUAUUACUUUGUUGCUUUGGCGGGCCGUUAGGCUCCGGCCCGACUACCGGCCCCGGCUGGUAAGCGCCCGCCAGAGGACCCAAAACCCUGAAUAUUAGUGUCGUCUGAGUACUAUAUAAUAGUUAAAACUUUCAACAACGGAUCUCUUGGUUCU
rnacentral:misc_RNA from 1 species